AUUGAACGCUGGCGGCAGGCCUAACACAUGCAAGUCGCGCGAGCGGCGGACGGGUGAGUAAUGUAUGGGGACUGCCCGAUAGAGGGGGAUAACUACUGGAAACGUUGGCUAAUACCGCAUACUAUCGGAUAACCCAUAUGGGAUUAGCUAGUAGGUGGGGUAAAGGCUCACCUAGGCGACGCUCUCUAUCUGGUCUGAGAGGAUGAUUAGCCAGACUGGUACUGAGAAACGGCCCAGACGACAAGGGAGGGAGGAGGGGGGAAUAUUGCAAAAUGGGCGCAAGCCUGAUGCAGCCAUGCCGCGUGUAUGAAGAAGGCCUUAGGGUUGUAAAGGACUUUCAGCGGGGAUGCGUUACCCGCAGAAGAAGCACCGGCUAACUCCGUGCCAGCAGCCGCGGUAAUUC
rnacentral:rRNA from 1 species